GAUGAGAAGCACUCAUCAUCCUUUGAGGUCAUUGUUAAAGAGGGCAAAGGGAGCCAUGAGCAGCAGAGCAUCCGGUGGGAUUCAGGGAUAAACACAAAGCACUGAGAACUUUUUCAUAUUUCUGUCUUACAGAUCAACGGCACUGCUGGAGGGAGGGAGAGGGGAGGUCUGUAAACAGCUGAAGAUUGAUGUCUGCAGGUUCCAGCUUCUGCCAUUUAAACCUGGUGACAAAUUUUCUCGUAGCAAUGGGAAGAGAACAGGCCUGGUCCUGGGAGAGAAACGGUGGGAUUCUUCUGGCCAAGUGUGCACUCCUGCAACCCUCCAAAGGAUUUCUGCAGUGUCUCAUGGAAAAAAGCAG